rnacentral:rRNA from 1 species
AUUGAACGCUGGCGGCAGGCCUAACACAUGCAAGUCGAACGGUAACAGGAAGCAGCUUGCUGCUUCGCUGACGAGUGGCGGACGGGUGAGUAAUGUCUGGGAAGCUGCCUGAUGGAGGGGGAUAACUACUGGAAACGGUAGCUAAUACCGCAUAAUGUCGCAAGACCAAAGAGGGGGACCUUCGGGCCUCUUGCCAUCGGAUGUGCCCAGAUGGGAUUAGCUCGUUGGUGGGGUAACGGCUCACCAAGGCGACGAUCCCUAGCUGGUCUGAGAGGAUGACCAGCCACACUGGAACUGAGACACGGUCCAGACUCCUACGGGAGGCAGCAGUGGGGAAUAUUGCACAAUGGGCGCAAGCCUGAUGCAGCCAUGCCGCGUGUAUGAAGAAGGCCUUCGGGUUGUAAAGUACUUUCAGCGGGGAGGAAGGGAGUAAAGUUAAUACCUUUGCUCAUUGACGUUACCCGCAGAAGAAGCACCGGCUAACUCCGUG